GGAGGAGGUGAGCUAACGGUUUUCGAGGAUGGGACGUUUGUGUCUGCAGCGAAAGCUAGCUUGCAUGUCUCUGGAGUUUUGUCGAUUAGUCUUAAAGCUCUUGUUGAAAUCAAUGGUCCCUUUCAUACCACGCAUGACGGAUCAGUUAACGUUUUGGG
rnacentral:ribozyme from 1 species